rnacentral:sRNA from 1 species
GGGUUGUGUCGCCUACUGGUGUAGGCAACCGUCUGUAAAACGGUGGCUUUCAUGCAUCGCAGGUUCGACUCCUGCACGACCCA